rnacentral:rRNA from 1 species
AACGAACGCUGGCGGCAUGCCUAACACAUGCAAGUCGAACGAGACCUUCGGGUCUAGUGGCGCACGGGUGCGUAACGCGUGGGAACCUGCCCUUAGGUUCGGAAUAACUCCCCGAAAGGGGUGCUGAUACCGGAUAAUGUCUUCGGACCAAAGAUUUAUCGCCUUUGGAUGGGCCCGCGUUGGCUUAGCUAGUUGGUAGGGUAAAAGCCUACCAAGGCGACGAUCCAUAGCUGGUCUGAGAGGAUGAUCAGCCACACUGGGACUGAGACACGGCCCAGACUCCUACGGGAGGCAGCAGUGGGGAAUAUUGGACAAUGGGCGAAAGCCUGAUCCAGCAAUGCCGCGUGAGUGAUGAAGGCCUUAGGGUUGUAAAGCUCUUUUACCCGGGAUGAUAAUGACAGUACCGGGAGAAUAAGCACCGGCUAACUCCGUG